AACCUGAGCUGCGGGGCCUAAGCCGAGCUAAAUUCGUUGCAGGUGGCCGCGGCGGGUGCAACCACAAAGGCUAAUCCGAAGGAGUCGGGGAGGCUCGUGGAGUCGAUGCUUCCUCUUCCAAGUCAGGUCGGCUCCCGUUACCUUCUCAGCAUUCGCCGUUCCGGUCUUCCUGAGCGCGUGCAUGAGGUCUUUCGCGUGGGGAAGCUCCGGUGACCAUGUAGGGGAGAAGAGUGAGGAAGCUCCUGGUGCUUGGGACGAGGUCAGCGCUGUCGGCGCGCUGCUCCAGCGCCCACCACACCCUGGUGCGGGCCGACGGGCCCUGGGCCCUGGUGGGAGCUCCGGCCUCCGGUCAAGGCCUGGCCGGGAGCGCCACGAAUUCUCGCGUCGUCUCGCGAGAGUCCAAGUUAAAGAACAUGGCGACGUCUAAUCUGUUAAAGAAUAAAGGUUCUCUUCAGUUUGAAGACAAAUGGGAUUUUAUGCGCCCGAUUGUUUUGAAGCUUUUACGCCAGGAAUCUGUUACAAAACAGCAGUGGUUUGAUCUGUUUUCGGAUGUGCAUGCAGUCUGUCUUUGGGAUGAUAAAGGCCCAGCAAAAAUUCAUCAGGCUUUAAAAGAAGAUAUUCUUGAGUUUAUUAAGCAAGCACAGGCACGAGUACUGAGCCAUCAAGAUGAUACGGCUUUGCUAAAAGCAUAUAUUGUUGAAUGGCGAAAGUUCUUUACACAAUGUGAUAUUUUACCAAAACCUUUUUGUCAACUAGAGAUUACUUUAAUGGGUAAACAGGGCAGCAAUAAAAAAUCAAAUGUGGAAGACAGUAUUGUUCGAAAGCUUAUGCUUGAUACAUGGAAUGAGUCAAUCUUUUCAAACAUAAAAAACAGACUCCAAGAUAGUGCAAUGAAGCUGGUACAUGCUGAGAGAUUGGGAGAAGCUUUUGAUUCUCAGCUGGUUAUUGGAGUAAGAGAAUCCUAUGUUAACCUUUGUUCUAAUCCUGAGGAUAAACUUCAAAUUUAUAGGGACAAUUUUGAGAAGGCAUACUUGGAUUCAACAGAGAGAUUUUAUAGAACACAAGCACCCUCGUAUUUACAACAAAAUGGUGUACAGAAUUAUAUGAA
rnacentral:lncRNA from 1 species